ensembl:lncRNA
ACAGGCGCAGGACAAGGAGGGCAGUGAUGGUAUGGGAAAGAACGUGAUUCUUCUGCACACGUUAGGAAAUGGAGACUCUCUCUGGUAUCGCUGUACAAUGCACAUCUUGCACCAUCAUACGUAGUGGCCCCAAACUCACCUUCCGGAGCCCCGUGCCCGGCAGCAGACGGGAACUCCCAGGUCUUUUAGGAAUGGGGGAAAGGAAGUCUCAUUCUUAACAAAUUCAACCACCAAAGCCCUCCCUCAUUCUAGAAAAGUUGGAGGCAGCAAAGGUUCCAUUAAAUUGGGCCCUACUUCUCACUAAACAGAGAAAGAAAGAAUUCUCCAGCGAGAUCAAGGAGUCAAGAUUUAUAGGUUUGUUGCUCAGAUGGAAAGUAAAUCUUCACUUUUACAGCAAGGCUUUUUACAGCACAGACUUCAACUUUAUUGAGAGGAUAUUAAUAUAUCUGUAUUAUGACUUUUAUGAUUAUUCACUUAAAAUGCUUUGUAUUUUUCAAAGGAGGGCCUAUAACUAUAAAAGAAGCUAUAAAAGGUACAAUGUGCCAUUAAUGAUUUUUUUAAAUGAUGGCUUUAUUUGUUUUUUAUUUGUUUAUUUAAACUUUGCCUUUGAAGAUUUAUAUGAAAAACAGAUUAUAACUGGGGCCAGCCCAGUGGUGUAGUGGUUAAGUUCUUGUGCUCCACUUCGGUGGCCCGUGGAUUGUGGGUUUGGAUCCCAGCCACAGCCCUACACACCGCUCAGCAAACCAUGCCGUGGUGGCAUCCCACAUACAAAAUAGAGGCAGACUGGCACAGAUGUUAGCUCAGGGCCAAUCUUCCUCACACACACACAAAAAUAUUAUAACUAACCAUCACCAAAGCUUGAACUUGACUUAGGUUAAUUGAGGGAAUAACGUAAUAAGUAGUCUUCUGGAAUAGAAAUACAAGACUAGCAUCUACUAAAUAGACCAACUCAGUAUUACAAACGAAUGAGAAAAUAUUUUGCUGUUUAAAACUGGCAAUCAUUUAUAUAUUAGGAAAUUAUUUUGGUCCUCAAAAAAAAAACUGCUUCAGCAUAAAAGAAAUUAUACAAGUACAUACAUACCCCUACAUACUUGUCCUAAAGUCAAGCCUUUGGUACUUAGAAGUAAAAUAAAACAUAAAUCACUAUUGCUUAUUGAGAAUGGCUAUGUUAAUGCCACUCUAAGUUCUAUGCAAGCCUUUCAGGAGCCAACAGGCAAAAAUGUUAGAGAUUCUCUGUAGCGGGACGGAGAUUCUGCCAGCGAACAAGGGGAGUGGGUGAGAACAGCUGUUUGAAUGUGACUCACCGUCUGCUCUGACUUCUGACCCCACUAUGUUUUUAACUGCAGGACUUUCUUAAGUAAUUGCGAGAUCCACCGACUAAGGUUUCCAGCAUAGAGUUUUCAAGACCACCACCACAUGUCGCAGGGACACAACCAUCAGAAUCAAACAAGAAACUCCCAGUCCUACUGAGCAACAUGAGAAGACCAGGCAGCGUGCACCUAACAAGGCCGUGCACGCUUCAUGACUCAGACGAUGAGAUCUGAGAGCUUCAACCAGAAACUGAUAGCACACGCUCUGGAGACAGGCGGCUCCAAGUCUGAAUCCCAGUUUCAAAGCCUCCUUUCACCACCUGUGAGCUGUGAGAGAUCCUGGGUAAAUCACUUCACCUCUCAGUGCCCUCAUUUCUACAGAGAUACAAUGGGGACAACAUGGCACCUACCUCAAAAGCUGUUACGACAAUGAAAAUUAGGUGAUAUAUAUCAAGUACUUGGAAACACUGCCUGGCAUUUUAUACAUAGUCGAUAAAUGUCAGCCAUUAUUAUUAUUACCAGUAAUAGUGGUUUCUUUACUUCUCCUCCAAUCCAGAAAUCCCACUUCUGGAAAUCUACCCUGGAGAAAUAAUCCAAACUACAGUAGAGGCACAAAAAUAC